UGGGGAAUAUUGCGCAAUGGGCGAAAGCCUGACGCAGCAAUUCCGCGUGGAGGAUGAAGGUCUUUGGAUUGUAAACUCCUUUCGGUGGGGACGAUAAUGACGGUAGCCACAGAAGAAGCACCGGCUAACUACGUGCCAGCAGACGCGGUAAGACGUAGGGCGCAAGCGCUGUCCGGAAUUAUUGGGCGUAAAGCGCUCGUAGGCGGUUUGGGAAGACUGAUGGGAAAGACCGGGGCUCAAGCCCGGCAG
rnacentral:rRNA from 1 species